rnacentral:pre_miRNA from 1 species
UUUGUAAUCCCUCCGUCCCAAAAUUCUUGUCUUAAAUUUGUCUAAAUAUGGAUGUAUCUAGUUACAUUUUAGUGUUAGAUACAUCCGUAUCUAAACAAAUGUAAGACAAGAAUUUUGGGACGGAGGGAAUACUAC